rnacentral:rRNA from 1 species
UGGGGAAUUUUGGACAAUGGGGGCAACCCUGAUCCAGCCAUUCCGCGUGUGCGAUGAAGGCCUUCGGGUUGUAAAGCACUUUUGGCAGGGAAGAAACAGGUCUGGCCAAUACCCGGACCGACUGACGGUACCUGCAGAAUAAGCACCGGCUAACUACGUGCCAGCAGCCGCGGUAAUACGUAGGGUGCAAGCGUUAAUCGGAAUUACUGGGCGUAAAGCGUGCGCAGGCGGCUCGGAAAGAAAGAUGUGAAAUCCCAGGGCUUAACCUUGGAACUGCAUUUUUAACUCCCGAGCUAGAGUAUGUCAGAGGGGGGUAGAAUUCCACGUGUAGCAGUGAAAUGCGUAGAGAUGUGGAGGAAUACCGAUGGCGAAGGCAGCCCCCUGGGAUAAUACUGACGCUCAGGCACGAAAGCGUGGGGAGCAAACA